GAGUUUGAUCCUGGCUCAGGACGAACGCUGGCGGCGUGCCUAAUACAUGCAAGUCGAACGGUCUUUUCUAUGGAAGCUUGCUUCCACUGAGAAGAUAGUGGCGGACGGGUGAGUAACACGUGGGUAACCUGCCCAUAAGAGGGGGAUAACAUCCGGAAACGGGUGCUAAUACCGCAUAGUUUUCUUGAUCGCAUGAUCGAGAAAGGAAAGACGGCCUUUGUGCUGUCGCUUAUGGAUGGACCCGCGGCGUAUUAGUUAGUUGGUGAGGUAAUGGCUCACCAAGACGAUGAUACGUAGCCGACCUGAGAGGGUGAUCGGCCACAUUGGGACUGAGACACGGCCCAAACUCCUACGGGAGGCAGCAGUAGGGAAUCUUCCGCAAUGGACGAAAGUCUGACGGAGCAACGCCGCGUGAGUGAAGAAGGUUUUCGGAUCGUAAAACUCUGUUGUCAGAGAAGAACAAGUUGGAGAGUAACUGCUCCAGCCUUGACGGUAUCUGACCAGAAAGCCACGGCUAACUACGUGCCAGCAGCCGCGGUAAUACGUAGGUGGCAAGCGUUGUCCGGAUUUAUUGGGCGUAAAGCGAGCGCAGGCGGUUCCUUAAGUCUGAUGUGAAAGCCCACGGCUCAACCGUGGAAGGUCAUUGGAAACUGGGGAACUUGAGUGCAGAAGAGGAGAGUGGGAUUCCAUGUGUAGCGGUGAAAUGCGUAGAUAUAUGGAGGAACACCAGUGGCGAAAGGCGACUCUCUGGUCUGUAACUGACGC
rnacentral:rRNA from 1 species